rnacentral:rRNA from 1 species
AACGCUGGCGGCGUGUCUAAGGCAUGCAAGUCGAACGAACCUUUAGAGCUUGCUUUGAAGGUGAGUGGCAAACGGGAGAGUAACACAUUGGUAACCUACCCCAAAGACAGGAAUAACACCGAGAAAUUGGUGCUAAUACCUGAUGUGCUGCGUCAACAUAAGUUGAUUCAGUAAAACUACGGUGCUUUGGGAGGGGCCUAUGGUCUAUCAGCUUGUUGGUGAGGUAAUGGCUCACCAAGGCUACGACNNNNNNNNNNNNNNNNNNNNUCUCACUGGGACUGAGACACUGCCCAGACUCUUACGGGAGGCUGCAGUCAAGAAUAUUCCUCAAUGCACGAAAGUGUGAAGGAGCGACGCCGCGUGAUUGAUGAAGCCCUUCGGGGUGUAAAAAUCUUUUAUUAGGGACGAACAAAUGACGGUACCUAAUGAAUAAGGGGUUGCUAAACUCGUGCCAGCAGCAGCGGUAAUACGAGUACCCCGAGCGUUAUCCGGAUUUAUUGGGCGUAAAGAGUACGUAGGCGGUUUUUCAAGUCAGAAGUCAAAUCUCUGGGCUCAACCCAGAAUCUGCUUUUGAAACUAAUAAACUAGAGGGUGGAAGAGGUAAGUGGAAUUGCCGGUGUAGGAGUAAAAUCCGAUGAGAUCGGCAGGAACACCAAAUGCGAAGGCAACUUACUAGGACACCCCUGACGCUAAGGUACGAAAGCGUGGGUAGCGAAUGGGAUUAGAUACCCCAGUAGUCCACGCCGUAAACGUUGGAUACUAGACAUUGGAAGUAUCGACCCUUUCAGUGUCGCUUAAACAAGCAAACGCAUUAAGUAUCCCGCCUGGGGAGUACGGCCGCAAGGCUAAAACUCAAAGGAAUUGACGGGGACCCGCACAAGCGGUGGAGCAUGUGGUUUAAUUCGACGGUAAACGAGGAACCUUACCAAGACUUGACAUCUAGCUGCAUACACCUGGAAACAGGAGUAGCCUUCGAGGGUGCUAGACAGGUGCUGCAUGGUUGUCGUCAGCUCGUGUCGUGAGAUGUACGGUUAAGUCCGGAAACGAGCGCAACCCCUGCCCUAAUUUGUAUUUUAUUAGGGGACCGCCAUGUUUAACAUGGAGGAAGGUGGGGAUGACGUCAAAUCAGCAUGGCCCUUAUGUCUUGGGCUACACACAUGCUACAAUGGCCAGUACAAUGGGUUGCCAAGCCUUAAGGCGGAGCUAAUCCCAACAAAGCUGGUCUCAGUUCGGAUUGAGGUCUGAAACUCGACCUCAUGAAGCUGGAAUCGCUAGUAACCGUAAAUCAGAUAUGUUACGGUGAAUACGUUCUCGGGUCUUGUACACACCGCCCGUCACGUCAAGAGAGUCGAUAAUGCCCGAAUGUCGUUGUAGGACGGCAGAAGGUAGGAUCGACAAUAGGGGCGAAGUCGUAACAAGGCAUCCGUAGCGGAAGCUGUGGAUGGACCACCUCCUUUCU